AUUGAACGCUGGCGGCAGGCCUAACACAUGCAAGUCGAACGAGUGGCGGACGGGUGAGUAAUGUCUGGGAAACUGCCUGAUGGAGGGGGAUAACUACUGGAAACGGUAGCUAAUACCGCAUACCAUCAGAUGUGCCCAGAUGGGAUUGGCUAGUUGGUGGGGUAACGGCUCACCAAGGCGACGAUCCCUAGCUGGUCUGAGAGGAUGACCAGCCACACGGGAACUGGAACACGGUCCAGACUCCAACGGGAGGCAGUGGUGGGGAAUAUUGCACAAGGGGCGCAAGCCUGAUGCAGCAAGGCCGGGGGUAUGAAGAAGGCCUUCGGGUUGUAAAGUCCUUUCAGCGGGGAGGCGUUACCCGCAGAAGAAGCACCGGCUAACUCCGUGCCAGCAGCCGCGGUAAUUC
rnacentral:rRNA from 1 species